GGGCCCGUAGCUCAGCUUGGUAGAGCGGCGGGCUCUUAACCCGUAGAGGUGGCUUGGCCCACCGCGGAAGUCCCGGGUUCAAAUCCCGGCGGGCCCG
rnacentral:tRNA from 1 species